AGUACAAUAUUAUUUAUCUUCUUAGGGGCAUAUUGAUUAAAACAUUGGGAUAGUGUAGGUCCCUAAAACAAGAUUGCACAUUAUACAUGUUCACAAUUCAAAACAUUUAAGAGUCAGAAAACAUUGUAUGGUUUGGCACCAUUAUACAGUAAGUAGAGAUAGAAACAGUUAGUAUCCCACAAGGUGUGAGCUGUUCACUGUUUUCAUGAAGCCAAAAAAAUUAACAGCAUGUUGAGAUUUUGCCAAAGAGAGAAACAGGUAUCUUAUACCAGAGACACAGGUAUCUUAUACCAGAGACACAGGUAUCUUAUACAAGAGACACAGGUAUCUUAUACCAGAGACACAGGUAUCUUAUACCAGAUAAACGGGUAGCUUAUAUCAGAGUUGUGGCCAUUCCCAUUUCAAUUCAGUCAAUUGACUGAAAGUAAACUAAAAUUCUAAUUCCAAAAUGUUCUCAUAGAGAAACAUUGAGCAAAAAUGUUUAACUCCCUAAUCGACUGAAUAGAAAAGGAAUUGACCCCAACCCUGUUUCAUAAGCAGUUUUGUCCUGAACAGCAUAAUAACCCAUGAGACAAAUAAGAGCUCUUAUGGGAGCAUCAGUUAAAACACUUACUGUAAGCUUUUGCCCUGCAUGAAUAAAAUAUACAGACAACAGUUAAUGUCUCAGUUGAUUUGAAGAGACACAAAAACAAUAUGUACCUAGCUUCACUUAAUGCCCUCAGCAGUAGCAGUGAGCCAAGGAGGAAUUGACUUGAGAGGGUCUCUCCUUAAGAAGGUAAUAUGAAUGUGUUUCAAAUGUGUACUCUACUGUAUGCACAUCAUAUGAUGUUUCUGUUGGGCUGUUGGAUAAACAAACCAGUUGAAUUAGAUUAGACCUUUAAGCUGUGAUUCCCAGCAUGUCAUGGAGUCACUCAAAAUAAAUUAACUAAGUAAUCAAGAGAUAAAAUAUCCCUGUCCCUGGUUUGAUUCACAAGUCAAGUGUGCCUUUUGAAUGAGGGAUGGAGGGGUGUGUGUGUGUAGAAUAUGUGUAGUGGUGUCUUUUUGUCUCUUUUGUGUCUGUGUUUACUUGAUAUAACCAGCAGUGGGCUGACUGCUUCAGUCUCACACUGGGGGGAAAUUGUAUUGUUAACUUGAUCAUCUCUUACCUGGCGAUAAGGUGGUAGUGCAAUCCUAUGUUUUUUGAAGGAGGAAAACCUUAAGCAUAGCUGUAUUCUUUUAUAUGCUUUGUGGCUUCCUGCUACUUAUCUGCCUUGUGGCAUCAUUGUACUGUCCUCUUUACACAACAAAAUAAAUGUGUUUGCGAUGUGUAUUUGAGUAUGUCAUACUUUCACAUUGGAUUGGAAAGGUCCAUUGGUACCCACCAAUGAUUAUGUAUGAUUAGCCUAUUUUAAACUAAAUCAGCACUAUCAAAAUCACACCAUUUCAAAUACAAUAUUUAGGAGUUUUGGUGCGAUGCCCUGGCAAACCACUAGAUGGAAGCAUUGUCCUAGUCCAGCGACGGUUGGAGCAGUAAAAC
rnacentral:lncRNA from 13 species